GAACGCUGGCGGCGUGCUUAACACAUGCAAGUCGAACGGAAAGGCCUUUUCGGAGGUACUCGAGUGGCGAACGGGUGAGUAACACGUGGGUGAUCUGCCCUGCACUCUGGGAUAAGCCUGGGAAACUGGGUCUAAUACCGGAUAGGACCGCACUUUAGUGUGUGUGGUGGAAAGUUUUUUCGGUGUAGGAUGAGCCCGCGGCCUAUCAGCUUGUUGGUGGGGUAAUGGCCUACCAAGGCGGCGACGGGUAGCCGGACUGAGAGGUUGGUCGGCCACAUUGGGACUGAGAUACGGCCCAGACUCCUACGGGAGGCAGCAGUGGGGAAUAUUGCACAAUGGGCGCAAGCCUGAUGCAGCGACGCCGCGUGGGGGAUGACGGCCUUCGGGUUGUAAACUCCUUUCGCCAGGGACGAAGCGUUUUGUGACGGUACCUGGAGAAGAAGCACCGGCUAACUACGUGCCAGCAGCCGCGGUAAUACGUAGGGUGCAAGCGUUGUCCGGAAUUACUGGGCGUAAAGAGCUCGUAGGUGGUUUGUCACGUCGUCUGUGAAAUUCCACAGCUUAACUGUGGGCGUGCAGGCGGUACGGGCUGACUUGAGUACUGUAGGGGUAACUGGAAUUCCUGGUGUAGCGGUGAAAUGCGCAGAUAUCAGGAGGAACACCGAUGGCGAAGGCAGGUUACUGGGCAGUUACUGACGCUGAGGAGCGAAAGCAUGGGUAGCAAACAGGAUUAGAUACCCUGGUAGUCCAUGCCGUAAACGGUGGGCGCUAGGUGUAGGGGCCUUUUGGGGUUUCUGUGCCGUAGCUAACGCAUUAAGCGCCCCGCCUGGGGAGUACGGCCGCAAGGCUA
rnacentral:rRNA from 1 species